rnacentral:rRNA from 1 species
UACGUAGGGGGCAAGCGUUGUCCGGAUUUAUUGGGCGUAAAGAGCGUGUAGGCGGCCUGACAGGUCUGCUGUGAAAACUCGAGGCUCAACCUCGAGAUGUCGGCGGAAACCGUCUGGCUAGAGUCCGGAAGAGGAGAGUGGAAUUCCUGGUGUAGCGGUGAAAUGCGCAGAUAUCAGGAAGAACACCAGUGGCGAAGGCGGCUCACUGGCCCGGUACUGACGCUGAGGUGCGAAAGCGUGGGGAGCAAACAGG